AAUGAACGCUGGCGGCGUGCCUAACACAUGCAAGUCGGAUGUGCCGCAAGGUGCAUGGCAGACGGGUGAGUAACGCGUGGGGAACCUACCUCUUCGUGGGGAAUAACGAUCCGAAAGGAUUGGUAAUACCGCAUGAGACCGACGGCUGGGAUGCUGUCGGUGAAAGCUGGGGACCGGAAACGGCCUGGCGCGAGGAGAGGGUCCUGCGUCUGAUUAGCUAGUUGGUGGGGUAACGGCCUACCAAGGCAUCGAUCAGUAGCCGGCCUGAGAGGGUGAUCGGCCACACUGGAACUGAGACACGGUCCAGACUCCUACGGGAGGCAGCAGUGGGGAAUUUUGCGCAAUGGACGAAAGUCUGACGCAGCAACGCCGCGUGGGUGAUGAAGGUCUUCGGGUUGUAAAGCUCUUUCGGCCGGGAAAAAUCGCCUCUCCUAAUACGGGGGUGGAUGAUGGUACCGGACUAAGAAGCACCGGCUAACUACGUGCCAGCAGCCGCGGU
rnacentral:rRNA from 1 species